rnacentral:lncRNA from 1 species
AAACGGCGCCUGCUGAUGACGCCAUCGCCGCGCGCGCGGGCCCUUCCGCCACCGGCCCGAAGGAAGGGGAGUCGCCGCGCCACCGCCGCCGCCAUGGCCCGCAGACGCCCGUUGCCUAGAAGAUGACACAGUUCCAUCCACGUUCUGAUUAUCUUCUUUUCCCAACCCUUUGCCAGUCCUUUGGAACUCCCCACCCCAGUGGUGACUUAGUCUGAGAAGCUGAACGAGAACCUUAAUUGUGCUUCCACCUUUCUUUCCCCGACUUUAAAGAAUUCUGUAUCCUCUGGUCUUAACUGAUUUCCCUCCAGCCAGUUCCUGUGGCCCUUGGCUCUUGACCCGUGGCCUCGACAACUUUAAGCGUGGCUGGCUGAGGAGGGUUCUGGGAGUCGAAGUCCACAAGUCUUUAAAAGUUGCCAAGUUUGCUCUAGACUUUUGGGCCAAUGCAUCCGUGGCGACAGUGGCACAUCUGCAGCCGUUGUGACCUUCCGAAUCCCACUAAAGGGAUUAAUCCAGGCAGCUUCCGUCUCGGCACGUCCAGGCCGUGUUCACCCUCCUGGCUCGCUGGCCUCCCCUCCCAUCUUCACGGAAGCGGCCGGGGCCGCCCCCUGCCAGCCUGGCUCUCCAGUCCU